UGGAGGAGUANCGAUGGGGAAGGGAGCCCCUUGUGAUAACACGUUCGUUUAUGCAGGAAAGCGUGGGGAGCAAACAUGAUUUGAUUUCCUGGGCGUUCGCGCCCUUAACGAUGUGUAGUAGGUGUCGGGUCUUAACUGACUUGUUAACGCAGCUCCCCGCGUGAAGUAGACCCCCUGGGGAGUACUGUCGCAAGAUUUAUACUCUAAGGAAGUGACGGGGACCCGCACAAUCGGUGGAUGAGGUGGAUUAAUUCGAUGCAACUCGAAAAACCUUACCUACCCUUGACAUGGUCAGAAUCUUUGAAAAAUCAGAGAGUGCUCACAAGAGAACUGAUACACACGUGCUGCAUGGCUGUCGUCAGCUCGUGUUGUUAGAUGUUGGGUUAAGUUCAGCAACGAGCGCAACCCUUGUCAUUAAUUGCCAUCAUUUAGUUGGGCACUUUAAUGAGACUACCGGUGACAAACCGGAUGAAGGUGGGGACGACGUCAAGUCCUCAUGGCCCUUAUGGGUAGGGUUUCACACGUCAUACAAUGGUACAUACAGAGGGUCGCCAAGCCGCGAGGUGGAGCUAAUCCCAGAAAGUGUAUCAUAGUCCGGAUCGUAGUCUGCAACUUGACUGCAUGAAGUUGGAAUCGCUAGUAAUCAUUGAUCAGCAUUCGCGGUGAAUA
rnacentral:rRNA from 1 species